GAGUGAAUUUUCUCACUGACACAGCAUAGUAAUAGGGUGAUUUAAACAGCAAGAGAGUCAAUUUGGUCACACCUUCAUUUGAGCCUGUCCUGGGAUAUGGAGGGACAUUUGGAAAUUGAUGGGUUCAGGUACAACACUGAGUAUAUAUUGAUAUUGCACUGGGUGAACAUGAAUUCCCUCUGAGUUUAUGACUGCAGUCAACAUUGAUCUGAUGCUAUCAGACUGAGGUUUUGUUUGCAGCAGAACCACAAAAUGUUGUCGAGAAGAAAGAGGCUAUUUGGCCCAAUUUGUGCCAACUUGAAGAAAAAGCUAUGGGGAGUAGGUUGCUUAUAGGCCAUGCUAUUGGAGUAAUAAUUCGAAAGACCAUGUUAAUGGUCUUGGGAACAAAUGCAGAGUAUGCUUGGAGAAACUCAGCAGGUUUGGCAGCAUCUUUGGAUACUGUAACACAAUUAACAUUCUGAAUCUGGUAUCUCUCUCAUUCUGAACUCUCAGAAAUGCUUUUGGGAUAUGUGUUGGGACAAUUUAAAUUCAAUUAAUGCAUUCUAAAUAAAAAGCUGCCCUUGUCAUUUGACAAUGACCAUUUGUGAGGAAAUCUGCCAUUUUUACUUGGUUUGGCUUUAACAUGAGACUCUAGACACACUACAACUGUGUGCUUUACCCUUAACCCUUCUACACCAUCUCCAAAAUGGUCCAGCCUUUAAGGGCAGUGAGGGAUAGGAAACAAAAUUGUGGCUGUGUCAGUGAUGACAACAUCCUAUGAAAGAAUUUUAAAAAAUAAUUAGUCUUGCUUACCUCUUGCUCUUUUUGCAUUGUUGUAGAAAUCCUUUCCUUACCUAAUAAUUAUUCAACUGCCUUCUGUAAGUUGAAUCUGCUCCCAGCAGGUGAGCACAUUUUGUAAGACAGAUUGUUUCUACUGGUUGGGGAAUUUAAUACAUGGACGCAUAGUCUCGGGCUAAGGAGCAGGUCAUUUAGGACUGAGAUGAGGGGAAAUUACUUCACUCAAAGGGUUUGAAACCUUUUCUAAACUGGGGGUUGGGGAUGCUCCAUCAUUGAAUAUAUUUAAUACUGGAUAGGCAGAAUUUUUGUCUCUCAGAGAAUCAAGGAAUAUGAAGGCAGCUGAGAAAGUGGAGUUGAAGCCCAGGAUCAUGACCAUAUCGAUUAAUGGACCAGGCCCGUUGACUGUGUCAGCAUGCAGACUGACUGGGAAGCCACCGUGGGACCUCAAUUGCAAUAAACUGCUACAUAGCAACACAGAGACCUUGUAACCUUUCCUCCUCCUGUGCUCCAGCAAGCAUUGUAGAGGUCAACUGAAAAAUGAAAGCAAAUAAAUCACGUGACACUUUGAAGAGCAUUUGGAAAACAGUUUGAAAUUCCCGAACGUAUUUUUCUUUGCAGACUUGCCUGUUGGCACCUCAAUGCAAA